rnacentral:tRNA from 1 species
GCAUCCAUGGAGCAGUAGUCUAGCUCGUUCCCCUCCCACCCUUUGGUACAGUGGUUAGGGAAAGGCCCGGGUGCAAACCCCGGUGGAUGCA